UUAACUCAUAUUUGUAUGGAAUGGGAUCGUUUGCCCACGUUUGCCGCUAGGGGCGCUGUUCCAACUGCAUACAAAAUUGGAUUA
rnacentral:pre_miRNA from 1 species